GAUGAACGCUAGCGGCAGGCUUAACACAUGCAAGUCGAGGGGUAUAGGUUUUCGGACCUAGAGACCGGCGCACGGGUGCGUAACGCGUAUGCAAUCUACCUUUUACAGAGGGAUAGCCCAGAGAAAUUUGGAUUAAUACCUCAUAGUAUUAUUGAAUGGCAUCAUUUAAUAAUUAAAGUCACAACGGUAAAAGAUGAGCAUGCGUCCCAUUAGCUUGUUGGUAAGGUAACGCCUUACCAAGGCAACGAUGGGUAGGGGUCCUGAGAGGGAGAUCCCCCACACUGGUACUGAGACACGGUCCAGACUCCUACGGGAGGCAGCAGUGGGGAAUUGUUCACAAUGGGCGCAAGCCUGAUGACGCAACGCCGCGUGGGGGAUGAAGGUCUUCGGAUUGUAAACCCCUGUCGAAUGGGACGAAAGACUCGGGAGCUAAUCAUCUCGAGAGUGACGGUACCGUUAAAGGAAGCCACGGCUAACUCUGUGC
rnacentral:rRNA from 1 species